UCUGCCGGCGACUUUGCGUGUUUCACGUCCUGGAUCCUGAUGUCUACUAAGAUCGUCCUACCCUGGUAUAUUAAUGUUAUCCACUGUGUCGACUUGAGAGUGUCCUGUUUUUUGAACUGUUGCCUGGUGCCGCCUAUAUCUCCGUGGGUCUUGCUGCCGAGCGACGAUCGUUGGUUGGGGUCCAUAUCAAGUGCCUGGGUCAGUGAAGCGUGGGCGCUUGUUCCUGUCUGCAUACCUCGGCGCUGGGUUCCAAGCACGCUCUCCAGCCCGGAGCCAGCAGUCCCCUAUACGCAGUGCCAAAACCUCUCCUCCGACCCCAGGCGGCUUCUCCAGUGGUCCAGUCAUUUCAGCGGCCCCAAACACCCGAGACCCACGCCGGCAGCUCGCGUCUGAUCCUCGCCACCUCCUUUCCUUUCCAUACUCUGUCAAAUAAAUAUCUUUCUCUGACCUGAGUUUGAGUCCUGCCUAUU